CCUACGGGAGGCAGCAGUGGGGAAUAUUGGGCAAUGGAGGAAACUCUGACCCAGCGACGCCGCGUGCGGGAUGAAGGCCUUCGGGUUGUAAACCGCUUUCAGCAGGGAAGAAGCGAAAGUGACGGUACCUGCAGAAGAAGCACCGGCUAACUAUGUGCCAGCAGCCGCGGUAAUACAUAGGGUGCAAGCGUUGUCCGGAAUUAUUGGGCGUAAAGAGCUCGUAGGUGGUUCGUCACGUCGGAUGUGAAAAUCUGGGGCUUAACCCCAGACCUGCAUUCGAUACGGGCGAGCUUGAGUAUGGUAGGGGAGUCUGGAAUUCCUGGUGUAGCGGUGGAAUGCGCAGAUAUCAGGAGGAACACCAAUGGCGAAGGCAGGACUCUGGGCCAUUACUGACACUGAGGAGCGAAAGCGUGGGGAGCGAACAGGAUUAGAUACCCUGGUAGUCCACGCCGUAAACGGUGGGCACUAGUUGUGGGGACCUUCCACGGUCUCUGCGACGCAGCUAACGCAUUAAGUGCCCCGCCUGGGGAGUACGGNUCGAGAGUAACUUAACACAANAGUAGUGCGNGUGAGACGCGACGACGACGACGACGGAGGAGG
rnacentral:rRNA from 1 species